CGCAUAAGCCCACGGGUCGGCAUCGACCAGAGGGAAAAGGAGCAAUCCGCUUUGAGAUGGCCUCGCGUCCGAUUAGCUAGUUGGUGAGGUAACGGCCCACCAAGGCGACGAUCGGUAGCCGGACUGAGAGGUUGAACGGCCACAUUGGGACUGAGACACGGCCCAGACUCCUACGGGAGGCAGCAGUGGGGAAUAUUGCACAAUGGGGGAAACCCUGAUGCAGCGACGCCGCGUGGAGGAAGAAGGUCUUCGGAUUGUAAACUCCUGUUGUUGAGGAAGAUAAUGACGGUACUCAACAAGGAAGUGACGGCUAACUACGUGCCAGCAGCCGCGGUAAAACGUAGGUCACAAGCGUUGUCCGGAAUUACUGGGUGUAAAGGGAGCGCAGGCGGGAAGACAAGUUGGAAGUGAAAUCCAUGGGCUUAACCCAUGAACUGCUUUCAAAACUGUUUUUCUUGAGUAGUGCAGAGGUAGGCGGAAUUCCCGGUGUAGCGGUGGAAUGCGUAGAUAUCGGGAGGAACACCAGUGGCGAAGGCGGCCUACUGGGCACCAACUGACGCUGAGGCUCGAAAGUGUGGGUAGCAAACAGGAUUAGAUACCCUGGUAGUCCACACUGUAAACGAUGAUUACUAGGUGUUGGAGGAUUGACCCCUUCAGUGCCGCAGUUAACACAAUAAGUAAUCCACCUGGGGAGUACGACCGCAAGGUUGAAACUCAAAGGAAUUGACGGGGGCCCGCACAAGCAGUGGAGUAUGUGGUUUAAUUCGACGCAACGCGAAGAACCUUACCAAGUCUCGACAUCCGUUGACCGCUGUAGAAAUACAGUUUUCCUUCGGGACAGCGAGACAGGUGGUGCAUGGUUGUCGUCAGCUCGUGUCGUGAGAUGUUGGGUUAAGUCCCGCAGCGAGCGCAACCCUUAUGGUCAGUUACUACGCAAGAGGACUCUGGCCAGACUGCCGUUGACAAAACGGAGGAAGGUGGGGAUGACGUCAAAUCAUCAUGCCCUUUAUGACUUGGGCUACACACGUACUACAAUGGCGUUAAACAAAGAGAAGCAAGACCGCGAGGUGGAGCAAAACUCAGAAACAACGUCCCAGUUCGGACUGCAGGCUGCAACUCGCCUGCACGAAGUCGGAAUUGCUAGUAAUCGUGGAUCAGCAUGCCACGGUGAAUACGUUCCCGGGCCUUGUACACACCGCCCGUCACACCAUGAGAGCCGGGGGGACCCGAAGUCGGUAGUCUAACCGCAAGGAGGACGCCGCCGAAGGUAAAACUGGUGAUUGGGGUGAAGUCGUAACAAGGUA
rnacentral:rRNA from 1 species